UAAAUUGCCAAGUCUAAUAAGUACCCGCGUCAAUACAUACUAUGUAUACUAAUUCACAUUCUCAAUUAUGCUACUGUUAUUAUUUGUCAUCAGACAAUUAUAAACAUACACAUAAUAAUUAGAUACAUAUUAUAUAUAUAUAUAUACGCACAUGUGUGCAUAAGAAUAUAUAUAAUUUAUAAAAAGCGGGUGCUUAUCAGCCUUGAUACGUUACUGCCUUCUGCUACAGACGGCCAGAAAGCAUUUUCAGGUUCAGGCCGUAUUGCUAAAGAAUCCAAGACGCGGCAACGCCGCGCGGCGUUGCCGCGUCUAUAGCAUAUGUCUCUCUACCGUGCGUCCGUGUGAGCAAUUCAGUGGUGUGUGUACAUACGUGUACGGACAUACACCACUUCAUAGAAUCUGAAAUAAGUUGGUAACACUGAAACCGGAGUUUCGCGUUGUCACCACGCGAGGUCUCCAAUAUCAGUUCGGCCUUUGCUUUAGUUGACAGAGUUGACAUUACCGACGUCGAGGAAGUUCGGCCUUAGCUUUAGCAUCCCCUUAAAUUGAGCGAACAUUCACGAAUCCUGAUACCCACAAGAGGAACGUGAAAAAGAGCAAGAAAAGGAAAGAGCACUAGCGGCGAAGCAGACAGAAAAAAA